UCCAGACUCCUACGGGAGGCAGCAGUGGGGAAUAUUGCACAAUGGGGGAAACCCUGAUGCAGCGACGCCGCGUGAGCGAAGAAGUACCUCGGUAUGUAAAGCUCUAUCAGCAGGGAAGAAGAUGACGGUACCUGACCAAGAAGCUCCGGCUAAAUACGUGCCAGCAGCCGCGGUAAUACGUAUGGAGCAAGCGUUAUCCGGAUUUACUGGGUGUAAAGGGAGCGUGGACGGCAGCGCAAGUCUGGAGUGAAAUGCCGGGGCCCAACCCCGGAACUGCUUUGGAAACUGUGCAGCUGGAGUGCAGGAGAGGUAAGCGGAAUUCCUAGUGUAGCGGUGAAAUGCGUAGAUAUUAGGAGGAACACCAGUGGCGAAGGCGGCUUACUGGACUGUAACUGACGUUGAGGCUCGAAAGCGUGGGGAGCAAACAGGAUUAGAUACCCGAGUAUGA
rnacentral:rRNA from 1 species